GUGCUUUUUCUUCUUAUUGCUGAUAUUGACCGAACAAAUGCUGAAUACCAAUCCUCUAAAUUAAGAAAAGCAAAAAAAUCAUGUUUUGAUUGGUUUUGUGGGUUCUUAUAUGUCUUUUAGUCUUCUCCAUCUGCUUAGGAAUUGGAUAUGCUAAUGUUUUCAAGUAUUUGCUGUGUUGUCUUUUAAAAGAAUUCUACAGUUAGAGGCUUUUUCAAAUUUCUUUAAUGGAAAUAUUAACUUGGAAAAGUUUACUUGUUGAGAUUGUAAAAUGAAA
rnacentral:misc_RNA from 1 species